AAAUCAAGCUUCUUCUUGCUUCUAAAAGCUUUGAUUGUUUAGCCGAAGUCCAUAUGAGUCUUUGUCUUUGUAUCUUCGAACAAGGAAACACUACUUAGGCUUUUAGGAUAAGAUUGCAGUUUAAGUUCUUAUACUCAAUCAUACACAUGACAUCAAGUCGUAUUCGACUCCAAAA
rnacentral:sRNA from 1 species